UUCGAGUGGCGACGGGUGAGUAACGCGUGGGUAACCUGCCUUACACAGGGGAUAACACCUGGAAACAGGUGCUAAUACCGCAUAAGCGCACAGGGCCGCAUGGCCCGGUGUGAAAAACUCCGGUGGUGUAAGAUGGACCCGCGUCUGAUUAGCUUGUUGGCGGGGUAGGGGCCCACCAAGGCGACGAUCAGUAGCCGGCCUGAGAGGGUGGACGGCCACAUUGGGACUGAGACACGGCCCAAACUCCUACGGGAGGCAGCAG
rnacentral:rRNA from 1 species